AAAUGUGACACAGCCCUGAACACUUCACCUUGUGCUCUGGUCCUGGGCACUUGUACCCCCACCCCACCUCACACACACCCCACGUACACACACACACCACCUCACACACACACACACCACCUCACACACACACACACACCACCUCACACACACACACCCCCCCCCACACACACACACCACCUCACACACACACACACCACCUCACACACACACACCCCACACACACAAAACACACCACCUCACACACACACACAUACCACCUCACACAAACACACACCACCUCACACACACACCACCUCAACAUACACACACACCCCACCUCACACACACCCCACAUACACACACACACCACCUCACACACCCACACACAAAACACACCAUCUCACACACACACACAUACCACCUCACACACACCCCACAUACACACACACACCACCUCAACAUACACACACACCCCACCUCACACACAUCCCACAUACACACACACACCACCUCAACAUAAACACACACCCCCACAUACACACACACACCACCUCACACACACACACACACACACACACACAAACACACCACCUCACACACACACACCACCUCAACAUACACACACACCCCACCUCACACACACCCCACAUACACACACACCACCUCAACAUACACACACACACCACCUCAACAUACACACACACCCCACCUCACACACAUACACACACCCCACCUCACACACACACACACCACCUCACACACACACACACCACCUCACACACACAAACACACCACCUCAACAUUCACACACCCCCCACAAACACACACACACCACCUCAACAUAAACACAUACACCACCUCUCACACACACACACACACCACUUCACACACACACACACCACCUCAACAUACACACACACCCCACAUACACACACACACCACCUCAACAUAAAUACACAUACUCCACCUCUCACACACACCCCACACAAUACUCACACACACCACAUAACACACACCACCUCAACAUACACACACCCCACACAAUACUCCUCACACACAACACAUACACACACCACCACAACAUACACACACCUCCCACACACAUAUUCUUCACACAUAAACACACACACACUAUACACUCUUAUACGCCCCCACCUAUCAGGCACACAGACCGUAGAGAACACACAGUUACCACAUACGCACACACCUCAACACACACAUACACGCACCCCCACACAUUGCAAAUAUGCCACAUUAUAUAUCACACACACAUUAUACCACAUACUACACACACACACCCCACACCAUACAUACCAGCAUGCAACACACACACAUACCCAAGCCAAAAGCCUGUUUUGGGGAGUAGUAACUGGUAAUUUGUUUUUGCCCGAGGACGAGCCUCACAGGUAA
rnacentral:lncRNA from 1 species